rnacentral:lncRNA from 1 species
CUGAGGAAGGCAGGGCCAUGGGCUUGGAGGCGGGACACGCGUCAAUAGCAGGUGGCGGCGGGGCUAUGGAGCUCAAGGAUGGAGCAAAUGUCAACAGGCACAGAUGAUGGUGGGUUUAACUGACGCUGCUGCACUGGGUACCCCACCCCGGUGCCAGGCACAUAGGUGCAGCCUGAGAGUAAGCAGACCGGGUUGGAAGGUCCCGCGAUUCACCACCGACAGGCUGGGCGGCCUUGGCAACCUCCGACCCCUCGCAGGCCUGUUCCCUUAUCCAUGAGAUGGAGCUCGGACAACGUGGCCACAGGAAGGCUUUGCAAACUGUGAAGUACAGUGCCCACGUGGGCGUGCCAGUGGCCUCGCCGGAGCCGGUAGGGAACACUCUGCAGUCCAGGCCAGGGCCCCGGUGGGACACCCAGCUGUGCAUCCCGCCCGUGGCCGCAAGGCCCGCACCUUGGCCAGCAGGAGCAGUGUGCGGCUGGUGCGGGCGUCCGCGUGGCGCUCCCGCAGGUGGAAGAGCUUGGGCGACAUGAUGGCGGGAGAGAAGAAGCGCAGGCACAGGAAGCUGGUGACGGCGAUGAACGGUACAUUCUGGAGGGGUGCGGGAGAGUGCGGGCUGGAGUCCCCCAGACCUGGGCUCCUGGCAGCCCCCUCCCCUUAGGCUCCCUCCCUGACCCUUCCCGGGACACAGCCUCCCUGGUCCUCCCCAGCGUUCCCUGGUUCUCCCCAGCGCUCCCUGGUUCCCCACCGCUCUUCGCCCCUCGCCCCAGCCCAGUCCAACCCGGCCCAGCCUAGCCCGGCGGGUGGAGGGCGCACCUCGUGCUGGGCGCCGGGGAAGCGCUCGCGCACGCGCCGGAAGAGCUGGCGGAAGGUGGCGCGCACCACGGCGGGGCACGCGCGAACCGAGCGGCUGAGCGCGCUCAGCAGCGCCCCCAGGUGGGCGCGCAGCGUCUGCGCGCUUUGUUCCAGCACCUCGGCCUCGGUCUGCGGGCGGUGCAGCCCGGAGCACCUGCGUGGAAUGGGGCGGGUUGGCAGAGGGGGUCGCGGUCAGCGCCAGGGCCACGACAGGAACAGUGGCUCUCACAGUAGCCAGGACACGGACACAGGGGACAAUACACGGGUGGGCAGAGGCACAAACACACGUGCUGACAGGGCCUGAUCCCAACCUGCUGCCGCUGCGCCCCGCACCCCCCCGGAGUUACCCCCGGCCUCACCCUACAUCCUUAACUUCCACUUUGCUGGGGUCCAGCUCCACGUACUUCUUCUCCUCAAACACCUUGUUGAUGAUGGGGCCCAGGACGCCGUGCAGGUACUGCAUCCCGGCCACCUGGGGACCACCACAGG